CGGAUUUAUUGGGUUUAAAGGGUGCGUAGGCGGACAGUUAAGUCAGCGGUCAAAACGGGCGGCUCAACCGCCUGCCGCCGUUGAAACUGGCAGUCUAGAGUGGGCGAGAAGUACGCGGAAUGCGCGGUGUAGCGGUGAAAUGCAUAGAUAUUGCGCAGAACUCCGAUUGCGAAGGCAGCGUACCGGCGCCCGACUGACGCUGAGGCACGAAAGCGUGGGGAUCGAACAGGAUUAGAUACCCUGGUAGUCCACGCAGUAAACGAUGGACACUAUCUGUUCGGGUCGAUAGAGAUCUGAGUGGCACAGCGAAAGCGUUAAGUGUCCCACCUGGGGAGUACGCCGGCAACGGUGAAACUCAAAGGAAUUGACGGGGGCCCGCACAAGCGGAGGAACAUGUGGUUUAAUUCGAUGAUACGCGAGGAACCUUACCCGGGCUCAAACGCACGACGGCGGCACGUGAAAGCGUGCUUACCUACGGGACGUUGUGCGAGGUGCUGCAUGGUUGUCGUCAGCUCGUGCCGUGAGGUGUCGGCUUAAGUGCCAUAACGAGCGCAACCCCCAUCCGCAGUUGCCAGCAGGUAAAGCUGGGGACUCUGCGGAGACUGCCGGCGCAAGCUGAGAGGAAGGCGGGGAUGACGUCAAAUCAGCACGGCCCUUACGUCCGGGGCGACACACGUGUUACAAUGGCAGGGACAGAGGGAAGCCACCGGGCGACCGGGCGCGGACCCCGAAACCCUGUCUCAGUUCGGAUCGGAGUCUGCAACUCGACUCCGUGAAGCUGGAUUCGCUAGUAAUCGCGC
rnacentral:rRNA from 1 species